UGGACAUUACUUGACCCACCUGGAGGCCAAGAAAUUAAAAGGUUGCACCUGGCCAGCUUGUCUACCCACUCUAGAUGAUCCUAGAAAUCAUGGCAAAGUCUCUCUGAUGUGUGACAGCAGAGAAUCCCAUGAUGGCAGCAUAUUGAAACUCAGAAAGACACUGGGGUGAGAGGAAGGAGCCUUGGCCAGGUGAGUGGAGCCCACCUUGGUCAGCACAGCAAAAGGAUUGUAAACCCCCACCCAGCCUGAAGCAGGCUGAGCCAGACCUUGACCUUGCUGCCACUAAGGAGAUUACCUAGGGUGGAGCCUUCCUCACUAGAUCACUCUAUUGUUCAGCCACUGCCACUGUUCUCCUUCAAGACACUGCUACCUGCUGGGAGGCCACUGAGCUAUUCCGGAGACUACACCCUAUCCUGCAGCUGGGCUCCAAGAAUGGAUUGGUGGGAAUGGGCCUCCCCCACCACCACCACCUUUAUAAGCGCAUUUGCCAUUAAACAUUUGAGCUUUGAUCAGGAAUCUUGACUUAGCUCCAUUUUUCUCUUGACUGCCUAGUUCCCCUCUCU
rnacentral:lncRNA from 1 species